UUCAGGUUAUAAAACAGUGCCAAUGUUUUCAUGAAGGGGAGUAAGACUUGUGGUAUAAUAUAUCUUAAAUACAAGUAAGCAUUACAGCUUGUCUGUGCAGAUUGAUGUUGGAAAUUGCUAUAUGAAAUGACUUUUAAAAAUAUUAAUUACUGUGGCUGAAGGAUAUAAUUGUGGGAUUAAUUCUCCAUACUCCUAAAUUAGAGAUGUUGUGAAGAUUCUUAACAUGUUGACAGCUGGGUGCUCUCUCUUCAGAAGACAUAAGAUUUAAAAUCCCCAUUCUGACAGGACAUGACUGCCAAUCUGUAUAUCCUGCCUGAGUAUCAUGCACUACCAAACAGAUACCUUACUUUUACAUGUAUUUUACUGCAAGUCUGAAGAAGACCAAGAGUGACCAUAUUUCCUUUUGGGUCUUUCUAACUCUACCAAACAGUUUCCAAUAUGAACAGUUCAUAUAAAUCUUGCAUACUUCUUCUUGUAUCAUAUACAUGUUUUUUGAUGGAUUAAACUGUAAAACUGUUGUAAUUUUAGCACUACCAGAGUAAUUAUAAAUGAACUGUUUUACAAAGCAAUUAUUUAAUUUUUCAUGCAUUGAGUUAUGCCAAGUCCAAAAAAAAGUAGAAUAUUGAUGAAACAUCUUACUUUCAAGGAAUUUAAAAUAAAAGUUUCUGUAAAACAAUAAUUUGUGUACUAAAUGUAAUGUAAAAUUUGUAUAUUAUUGAAUUCAUAUGAAACUUUUUUCUUCUUCUGUUGGAUAGUUAGUGGUUCAAAUAUAUGACAAUUAAGCAUAGAAAUAACCAAAAAGAAACAAAUUUCUCUUUCCUAAAUCUUCUAUAUGCACUUUUAUAUGUAAAUAUGUGUUACAGCCUAAAUUGGCCUGAAUUUAUUUUUAGUCAUGCAUCGCCUUGGACUAUUUCCUAACUGUGUGGUAUGCUAUUGUAACUUUUCCAUCCAGAAAGAAUUAUUUUAGGCGAAAUUGCUUUUAAUUUUGUGGACAAAAUUACAACUGUUUAGAAGCAUCCCCUAUUUUAUUUAAUACAUGUACAAAAAAUAACAAGCCCCAUAUUAAUAUAUGGUGAAAUGGGAUAAAAUCAACUUGGUUAUCAGAAUUUGUGAUUAUCUCCCUUUAUUAAAAAGAACUUAAGCCAGUGUAGGAAUUUUACAGGAAAUAUUUUGCCUGAAGUCUUUAAAUAGGCCUAAAUCAAACUUGAUUCAUCAAACACCUUGUUUUAAACUUAACAGAACAGUUAAUAUGCUGGUCAAUGCCCCAUGUCCUCUGCAAAUUGGAUAACUGUAAAGAAAGUCCUUAAAUGAUAAACAAUUGUUUCUUUGAUCCAAAAAAUUGAAUAUAAGGGGUUGGGGGUAUACAAUAAUCAACUAAUGCAAAGGUUGUCUGAUUUGAUUUUUCAUUAAAUGUCAAUAAAUUGGCUUUCAUUUUUAUGAUUGAAAAAUAAGGGGAGAUAAUUUUGACAUAGUAGAAUCCUGACUGCAAAAGUAGGAGGAAUGAAAAUUUCCAUAUUUUUUAUCUUUUUAACAGCAAGCUAGGUUUAUUUUGAAUAAUGAAUUUACAAAAAAGUCUAAAUUUAAAAAACAGUUUGCUAAACUGACCUGUAAAAUAAGAUUUUUCUUUCUUUAAUUCAUAAUUAUCCAAUAUAUGGAUCUAUUUGUCCAUCAAUAUCUCCAAUUCAAAUCUCCAAUAUUUAAUCCCUAAAGUUCAUGCCUUGGGUAUAUAUAUGUAAAGUUAAGUUACAUUAAAACAGAAUUUAAGGUUUCAGCAACACUUGAGGGAUUGCUGCAGUAAUUUAAUAAGAUAGACAAGUUUUGGUUACCCUGAUCAGGAUUAAAACUACAGAAGAGCACAAAAUUCCCAAGUGAUGAUUUUUUCUUCACAAUUUGUCACGAUAAGAAGAAAUUACAAAUAGAGAGUGAGUGAAGGUAUGACAGUAAACUGGAUUAAGAAUGUUAAAUAAAAUAUGUUUUUGCAAAUUUGGACGACAAUUAAUUGCAAUUAUGUACCAUUUCAACAAUAGAAGUAGUAUCGACUUGCAAAUCCAUACCAUUACCACACUGGAAGUAGUAUGGUUGUCUGAGCGAUGCCAAUUGGAAGUACGUACCUCUUAGUGAAGCUAAUUGGGAGCACACCCUCUGUCUUGUUGCGAAGCUGAUUGGAAGCAGUACAUAUAUACCUCUGUCUGCUAAAGCUAAUUAGAAGCAGUACCCCUGGCAGAGAGGUCCCAAUUAGAAGUACGUAACUCUGAGGGAAGCCAAUUGGAAGCAUGUACCUCUGCAAAAUUUGAUUAAACAAUAUUAAACAAAUUUUAUUUUACAUUCUUUUUAAAGUUUACUUGCAUACCAACUCUCAUUUUUUAUUUAUAAUUACUCCCCUUGUUGACAUUGUGACGUGCAAAUUAUCACUUUACCAUUUAGUAGAUCAUUCUAAUAAAUUACUACAACACACGAUCAAGUAUUGUUAUAAGGGUAAAAUACUUUAUUAAUUUUAGUUUAUGCACCUAUAAAUGAUAACUAAACUUACUGUAACUUUUUGGAAGCUAAGGUUCCUCAAGGUCUAUAGGGAGAACGAUAUAAAUUUGCUGUGAAGGGCAUAUGAUACAUUAACAGGGGAGGUAAUGACGUUGCUACUGUCAAAUGUUACUUUUAGCCAUGUCAAAUAGUUUAAUAUCAGGAAAAGACCCAUUUUUUGACUGAUUUAACAUGAAAAUGAAUUCAUGGACCUCUCUUUUUAAAAAUUACAUUAGGCUUGAAUAUGUUUAAAGAUUAUUUGUGCCAAUUUGAAGAAACCAGCAAUGGAAUUGUUCUAAAUAAGAUAAAUAUACAGCCAAUAAUGACGUUUCUUUUACUGAAAUCGUGACAAUAUGUUGUUACACAAAUUUAACUCAAAACACACUUAAUAUGUAGAGAUGAUAAUCCAGUUUUUUUAAUUACAAAACUCACCUUGUGUUUAUAUUUUAUGACAAAAAAGUUCAGUAUGUCUUUCUAUUACUUGGAAAUAUCCAAGAAACCUAAAUGUCUAGUAAAUGUCUAAUAUUUGACUGCUCAUCUAUCAAAGUAGCACAUAAAGGUACAUGUAUUAUUACAUAUUUGAAUUAACUAUAGGUGAAUAAAUAGCUUGUAAGCAAACUUUGGGUUCAUUAUUUUUAAUUCAUUUAUUUAAAUGUAAAAUACAAUAAAUUACUUUUUGUUUAGAUUAAAUUGUCAGAGGAUGGGGUAGAAUCAUCGGUUCUUAAGUUAAUGAAUUCAUUAGAACAGACUUUGCAAUCAUAUCAGUUUGUUAAUUAAUAUUUGUGGUCUUGAAAAAUCCUUGAAAUAAAAUAAUUACUCAUGGCACCAAAUAGAUUUUACUAGAAAUUAUUUUGUUAUGUAGUAGUUUUAAGUGAAAAUUGAAACUCUUAAUAUUUCUUUUAACAAUUUUAAAUUAUAAACCUCAUAUAUACUUUAAAAAAUUUGUUUUUAAUAAAUGAAGAAAAAAGUUGACAAUUUUCAGUUUAAAUUCAAAUUGCAGAUUUGACAUGAUAAAUUCAUUAUUUUUAUUAACAUUCCCUUGUAAGCUUUAGAUUAGAAAAUCUUGAAAAAGCAAAAGAAAAAAGUGUACCAACAGUGAAAAGAUUAAUAAUUUUAGAAUGAAUUCAAAAGUUUUCCAAUGUUUAUAGCUGCAUACUAGGAAUUGGUAUUUGUUUACUUGACAAACAUAGGAUUUUUAUUUUCAACCUUUUUUCAAUUUUUGAACCCCAACCAAAAAAAUACACUAGUUUUCUCUGCCAAUUAAAAGUGUUGUUUAGGUAUUUUGAAGCAUGAUGCCUUAUAAUUAAAUUUUGCUAGUGUUUCAUAGAAUUAUGGUUGGAAAUAUUUUGAAAACCUAGCUUCACUCUACCCAGAGUGUCAAGUUUCUUUUUAUAUACCCUUACUUUUACAUGAUCAUGUAUUUUGUUUUGAAUAGUUCUCCUUUAUUAUAGUGUCCAAAGUAUAACUCUUGAGACAGUUCUUCCAAGCAAAUAGUUACAAAACAUUUUUCCACUACAUAUUGAUUUUAUCUGGUUUUAAAUACUUCAUUAAUUAUCAAUAUAAUGAUUUUCAUUAUGUGUAUAUGUUUAUGCUUAUGAGUUGUAUUCAUGUAUACUGUAUGUAUAAAUUCCCUAGGCAUAAAAGUAUACCAGGAAUUGAUUGUCUUCUGGCGUAUGUGUUAUACAUGUCCAUGUAGGCGUAGGAAUUUUAGCACCAAAAUAUUUUAGUUGUAAAGUGACAUCUUUAUCUAUUUUAUUUCUAACUUGAACUUUGAACAUUGUAUUGUUAGGGAUGUUUUUACUUACAUAUUUACAAACAGAACAAAACAAUAUACGUCCGAGUAUGUCUCGUGAGACGACUUGUCGCAUUGGGUUGGAGCAUAUAUGACUGUUUAUGCACCGAUGGGUCGGACCCAGGUUUCCAGUUUCCCAUUAUUGGGUUUGUUUGGUUGUUCCUGGCCGGCGAGGUCGUUGAUGAUCGAGUUAUUCAUUAGUUCAGUUAUUCAGUUUACAUUCAUGUCAACCAUAUUAUAUCUCUUGUUAGUACAAGGUCUACUUUACUAGCUAAGUUGUACCUAAAAGUAUAUUUCAAGGUUUUUGUUAUUAGGAAUAAUUGUGGUUAUUGUUUUAUUCAUAUAUCUUAUAUAUUAAGACACAUGUAUAUAAUUAUUUAAUAAAUUCCGUUGUCCACUAUGCUUGCU